rnacentral:rRNA from 1 species
UGCAGUCGAGCGGCAGCACGGGGAGCUUGCUCCCUGGUGGCGAGCGGCGGACGGGUGAGUAAUGCAUAGGAAUCUGCCCGGUAGUGGGGGAUAACCUGGGGAAACCCAGGCUAAUACCGCAUACGUCCUACGGGAGAAAGCAGGGGACCUUCGGGCCUUGCGCUAUCGGAUGAGCCUAUGUCGGAUUAGCUGGUUGGUGAGGUAAUGGCUCACCAAGGCGACRAUCCGUAGCUGGUCUGAGAGGAUGAUCAGCCACAUCGGGACUGAGACACGGCCCGAACUCCUACGGGAGGCAGCAGUGGGGAAUAUUGGACAAUGGGCGCAAGCCUGAUCCAGCCAUGCCGCGUGUGUGAAGAAGGCCCUCGGGUUGUAAAGCACUUUCAGUGGGGAARAAAGCCUUCCGGUUAAUACCCGGGAGGAGGGACAUCACCCACAGAAGAAGCACCGGCUAACUCCGUGCCAGCAGCCGCGGUAAUACGGAGGGUGCGAGCGUUAAUCGGAAUUACUGGGCGUAAAGCGCGCGUAGGCGGCUUGAUAAGCCGGUUGUGAAAGCCCCGGGCUCAACCUGGGAACGGCAUCCGGAACUGUCAGGCUAGAGUGCAGGAGAGGAAGGUAGAAUUCCCGGUGUAGCGGUGAAAUGCGUAGAGAUCGGGAGGAAUACCAGUGGCGAAGGCGGCCUUCUGGACUGACACUGACGCUGAGGUGCGAAAGCGUGGGUAGCAAACAGGAUUAGAUACCCUGGUAGUCCACGCCGUAAACGAUGUCGACUAGCCGUUGGGUCCUUCGCGGACUUUGUGGCGCAGUUAACGCGAUAAGUCGACCGCCUGGGGAGUACGGCCGCAAGGUUAAAACUCAAAUGAAUUGACGGGGGCCCGCACAAGCGGUGGAGCAUGUGGUUUAAUUCGAUGCAACGCGAAGAACCUUACCUACCCUUGACAUCCUGCGAACCCUUCGGAGACGAAGGGGUGCCUUCGGGAACGCAAAGACAGGUGCUGCAUGGCUGUCGUCAGCUCGUGUUGUGAAAUG